UACAGAGGGGGCAAGCGUUAUUCGGAAUUAUUGGGCGUAAAGGGCGCGUAGGCGGCUUUGUAAGUUAGAGGUGAAAGCCCGGGGCUCAACUCCGGAAUUGCCUUUAAGACUGCAUCGCUAGAAUUGUGGAGAGGUGAGUGGAAUUCCGAGUGUAGAGGUGAAAUUCGUAGAUAUUCGGAAGAACACCAGUGGCGAAGGCGACUCACUGGACACAUAUUGACGCUGAGGUGCGAAAGCGUGGGGAGCAAACAGG
rnacentral:rRNA from 1 species